rnacentral:rRNA from 1 species
CCCGCACAAGCGGAGGAGCAUGUGGUUUAAUUCGAUGAUACGCGAGGAACCUUACCUGGGCUUAAAUGCUUAAUGACGUACUGGGAAACUGGUAUUUCUUCGGACAUGUUGCAAGGUGCUGCAUGGUUGUCGUCAGCCCGUGCCGUGAGGUGUCGGGUUAAGUCCCAUAACGAGCGCAACCCCUAUUGUUAGUUGCCAUCAGGUCAUGCUGGGGACUCUAACAAAACUGCCCGCGUAAGCGUGGAGGAAGGUGGGGAUGACGUCAAGUCAGCACGGCCCUUACGUCCAGGGCUACACACGUGCUACAAUGGCCGGUACAGAGGGCAGCCACUUGGUGACAAGGAGCAAAUCUCAAAAGCCGGUCUCAGUUCGGAUCGGAGUCUGCAACUCGACUCCGUGAAGUUGGAUUCGCUAGUAACCGUAGAUCAGCAAUGCUACGGUGAAUACGUUCCCGGGCCUU